AGCAGCCGCGGUAAUUCCAGCUCCAAUAGCGUAUAUUAAAGUUGUUGCAGUUAAAAAGCUCGUAGUUGAAUUUCGGGAUCAAUAUGCCGGUCAUGCCUUGGUAUGCACUGGUAUCUUUGAUUUCUCCCUUCUGACGAACUUUGAUGUCAUUAAUUUGGUGUCAUAGGGAAUCAGGACUGUUACUUUGAAAAAUUAGAGUGUUUAAAGCAAGCUCACGCUUGAAUACAUUAGCAUGGAAUAAUGAAAUAGGACGUUUGAUUCUAUUUUGUUGGUUUCUAGGAUCGACGUAAUGAUUAAUAGGGAUAGUUGGGGGCAUUAGUAUUCAAUUGUCAGAGGUGAAAAUUCUUGGAUUUAUUGAAGACUAACUACUGCGAAAGCAUUUGCCAAGGAUGUUUUCAUUAAUCAAGAACGAAAGUUAGGGGAUCGAAGACGAUCAGAUACCGUCGUAGUCUUAACCAUAAAUUAU
rnacentral:rRNA from 1 species